rnacentral:rRNA from 1 species
UAGUGAUCCGGUGGUUCUGCGUGGAAGGGCCAUCGCUCAACGGAUAAAAGCUACCCUGGGGAUAACAGGCUUAUCUCCCCCAAGAGUCCACAUCGACGGGGAGGUUUGGCACCUCGAUGUCGGCUCAUCACAUCCUGGGGCUGUAGUAGGUCCCAAGGGUUGGGCUGUUCGCCCAUUAAAGUGGUACGCGAGCUGGGUUCAGAAC